rnacentral:tRNA from 1 species
GUGGCAAUAGCUUAGUGGUAGGGCUCCCGCUUCAUGCGCGGGAAGACCUGGAUUCGAUUCCCGGCUGCUUUC